CAUGCAGUCGAGCGGAACGAGUUAUCUGAACCUUCGGGGAACGAUAACGGCGUCGAGCGGCGGACGGGUGAGUAAUGCCUAGGAAAUUGCCCUGAUGUGGGGGAUAACCAUUGGAAACGAUGGCUAAUACCGCAUGAUGCCUACGGGCCAAAGAGGGGGACCUUCGGGCCUCUCGCGUCAGGAUAUGCCUAGGUGGGAUUAGCUAGUUGGUGAGGUAAGGGCUCACCAAGGCGACGAUCCCUAGCUGGUCUGAGAGGAUGAUCAGCCACACUGGAACUGAGACACGGUCCAGACUCCUACGGGAGGCAGCAGUGGGGAAUAUUGCACAAUGGGCGCAAGCCUGAUGCAGCCAUGCCGCGUGUGUGAAGAAGGCCUUCGGGUUGUAAAGCACUUUCAGUCGUGAGGAAGGUGGUGUAGUUAAUAGCUGCAUYAUUUGACGUUAGCGACAGAAGAAGCACCGGCUAACUCCGUGCCAGCAGCCGCGGUAAUACGGAGGGUGCGAGCGUUAAUCGGAAUUACUGGGCGUAAAGCGCAUGCAGGUGGUUUGUUAAGUCAGAUGUGAAAGCCCGGGGCUCAACCUCGGAAUAGCAUUUGAAACUGGCAGACUAGAGUACUGUAGAGGGGGGUAGAAUUUCAGGUGUAGCGGUGAAAUGCGUAGAGAUCUGAAGGAAUACCGGUGGCGAAGGCGGCCCCCUGGACAGAUACUGACACUCAGAUGCGAAAGCGUGGGAGCAAACAGGAUUAGAUACCCUGGUAGUCCACGCCGUAAACGAUGUCUACUUGGAGGUUGUGGCCUUGAGCCGUGGCUUUCGGAGCUAACGCGUUAAGUAGACCGCCUGGGGAGUACGGUCGCAAGAUUAAAACUCAAAUGAAUUGACGGGGGCCCGCACAAGCGGUGGAGCAUGUGGUUUAAUUCGAUGCAACGCGAAGAACCUUACCUACUCUUGACAUCCAGAGAACUUUCCAGAGAUGGAUUGGUGCCUUCGGGAACUCUGAGACAGGUGCUGCAUGGCUGUCGUCAGCUCGUGUUGUGAAAUGUUGGGUUAAGUCCCGCAACGAGCGCAACCCUUAUCCUUGUUUGCCAGCGAGUAAUGUCGGGAACUCCAGGGAGACUGCCGGUGAUAAACCGGAGGAAGGUGG
rnacentral:rRNA from 2 species